rnacentral:lncRNA from 1 species
UCUGUCCGCUUUUUGUUCAUCACGUUUGAUCUGGAGCGUCCGAUUGCGAUUCAAUCUGGAGCGUUCAUCGCGAUCUAAUAUGGGUCGUCCGAUCACGUUCAAAUCUAACCGUUUGAUUGCGUUUGGAGAGGGAAUGCAUCUGGGCCGUUCGUGCGCGUAAGAACGGAUAUGAGCCAUUUGAUCACAGGCGCGUGGAUUGCCCGCGUGGCAAUGCGUCAGCGUUCGCUGCCACGCGCCGCGUUUUGGUUCGUCGGGGUUACUGACCGAGCAUCUUACGUGGCAAAACUUCUUUAAAUUGUAUUUUGACCCCUGAUUUC